GGAGGGGGUCCCGAGCGGCCAAACGGGGCAGCCUGUAAAUCUGUUGGCUCACCCUUCGAAGGUUCGAAUCCGUCUCCCUCCACCU
rnacentral:tRNA from 1 species